CCUACGGGAGGCUGCAGUGGGGAAUAUUGGGCAAUGGGCGCAAGCCUGACCCAGCAACGCCGCGUGAAGGAAGAAGGCUUUCGGGUUGUAAACUUCUUUUGUCAGGGAAGAGUAGAAGACGGUACCUGACGAAUAAGCCACGGCUAACUACGUGCCAGCAGCCGCGGUAAUACGUAGGUGGCAAGCGUUGUCCGGAUUUACUGGGUGUAAAGGGCGUGUAGCCGGGUUGACAAGUCAGAUGUGAAAUCCUGCGGCUUAACCGCAGAACUGCAUUUGAAACUGUUGAUCUUGAGUACUGGAGAGGCAGAUGGAAUUCCUAGUGUAGCGGUGAAAUGCGUAGAUAUUAGGAGGAACACCAGUGGCGAAGGCGGUCUGCUGGACAGCAACUGACGGUGAGGCGCGAAAGCGUGGGGAGCAAACAGGAUUAGAUACCCCAGUGUC
rnacentral:rRNA from 1 species